AUUUACCUUUAGUCAUAAAUCUCUGAAGUAAUCUUAUGUUAAUACACUUAAAAUUGCAAGGAAUGAUCAUAUUUCUUAAAACGGAGGGUACCAAGCUAUAAAUUCUUACUGAAUAAACGUAAUUUAGACUUUGUUCAGAACACAUAAAUGAGAACUAGUAGCGUGUUGGUGUAUUUUUAUUCAGAGGGUAGCGUGUUGGUGUAUUUUUAUUCGGAGGGUUGUGAAAGGCUGUAAUGACACCGCCUUGUCAAACAAUCAUAAAUGACUUCACUGAACACGACCUUUUUGCACCAACCCCUACUGGAGCCAAACACUCACAGUGGAGCUAGCUUGGCAUUUGGGAAGUGAGAUGACAGCAGCGUCCUUCUUUCACACAUGUUCAUUUAAAAUCUAUGGAAAAUAAAGACAGUAUAAAGAAGAAAAUAAACACAACCUGUAAAAAGCACUAUCAACAUUAUGGUAUACUGUUUCCCUCACUAUCAAAAGGUCAACAGAUGGAGACCAUCCUGGUCAACACAGUGAAACCCCGUCUCUACUAAAAAUAUAAAAAUUAGCUGGGCGUCGUGGUACGCGCCUGUAGUCCCAGCUAUCUAAACAUUAUCCAUCCAUAUCCAAAUGGUACUUGAAGUAACCCAUUGGAAAACAGAAAUCAUUCCAAUUUAUCCUGAACCCCACAUGAACCUCCGCCUUGGGGCCCUGCAUACCUUCGCACACCUAUGCUGACUGCGCUCUCCAGCGAGAGCUAAGCUCGUGCUGCCUGGUCAUGAUGACCUGUGGGAAACAUCGUGAAACCCUGUUUUCUAAACAACAAACACCACCAACAAAAAUCCCCAACAUUCUUCAAAUCACUCAGGUCAUUCAGCAGUAUCCCUGACAUGGUAUUCCCAGGAUAGUGUCUAUAAACUAAACACCAUGAAACAGUUUUUUUUAAAGUUAAUAGACUGAGUUACAAGACAGCUUAACAGUUUAGUCCCAGUUUCUAUGUCACCCAUGUGGCAAAAUUUCAGGUGAAAGAUUUGCUUCCAUAUUUUACUUCAUCACUUCCUUUUCUCACUAAUUAAAUUUAGAAUUUAGCAAACCUAAAAUGAAAAAUAAGGAAAGGAAAGAAGCAACAAAAAGUCAAACAGGAAGAAUGGUCUUGAGGAAAAACUAGAGGGCCAGGAAAGGCAGCUAAUGUAACUGGAAAAAUACUCACUGGGGCAAUGAAAUGUGAUGGAAGGGGCAGGCCACCAAAGGAGCCGCACAAGGUAAUGGACAGUCACACAGUUCCAGGGUCAAACCACAUGAGUCCAAAUCCUAUAUCCUUCACUACUAUGGGAAAGUAAUUUCACUUCUCUAAACUCCUGUCACCUUACCUGUAAAAUGGAUAUAACUACAACUACUUCAUCGUUUUAUUAUGGGGAUUAAAAGAGAUGAGUGACAGAGCAUCUGGCACAUGGUCAGAACUAAAUAAGUGUUACCUGCUAUGCUAUCAUUAUCAUUACUAACAUCACUAACAGUCCCGUAAGUUGAAACUUUUCAAAAUUCUAAUAUAUUAGCUCAAGAGCACUUUACACUUCUCAAUAAGAAUUUGUGUUUAAAAAUUCCAGUAUCAGAUGCACUUAGAAUU
rnacentral:lncRNA from 1 species